GCCGCUUUAGCUCAGCUGGUAGAGCACAUCAUUCGUAAUGAUGGGGUCACAGGUUCGAGUCCUGUAAGCGGCACCA
rnacentral:tRNA from 7 species